rnacentral:rRNA from 1 species
UACGGAGGGGGCUAGCGUUGUUCGGAAUUACUGGGCGUAAAGCGCGCGUAGGCGGACCUGCAAGUCGGGGGUGAAAGCCCGAGGCUCAACCUCGGAACUGCCUUCGAUACUGCGGGUCUCGAGUCCGGGAGAGGUGAGUGGAAUUCCUAGUGUAGAGGUGAAAUUCGUAGAUAUUCGGAGGAACACCAGUGGCGAAGGCGGCUCACUGGUCCAUUACUGACGCUGAGGUGCGAAAGCGUGGGGAGCAAACAGG